rnacentral:rRNA from 1 species
UCGGGCCUUGGGACCGGGAGAGGCGGGGGGUACCCCUGGGGUAGGGGUGAAUCCUAUAUCCCAGGGGGACCGCCAGUGGCGAAGGCGCCCCGCUGAAACGGGUCCGACGUGAGGGACGAAAGGCCAGGGAGCAAACCGGAUUAGAUACCCGGGUAGUCCUGGCUGUAAAGGAUGCGGGCUAGGUGUCGGGUGAGCUUCGAGCUCGCCCGGUGCCGUAGGGAAGCCGUUAAGCCCGCCGCCUGGGGAGUACGGCCGCAAGGCUGAAACUUAAAGGAAUUGGCGGGGGAGCACUACAAGGGGUGGAGCGUGCGGUUUAAUUGGAUUCAACGCCGGGAACCUCACCGGGGGCGACGGCAGGAUGAAGGCCAGGCUGAAGGUCUUGCCGGACACGCCGAGAGGAGGUGCAUGGCCGCCGUCAGCUCGUACCGUGAGGCGUCCACUUAAGUGUGGUAACGAGCGAGACCCGCGCCCCCAGUUGCCAGCCCUUCCCGUUGGGAAGGGGGCACUCUGGGGGGACUGCCGGCGAUAAGCCGGAGGAAGGAGCGGGCGACGGUAGGUCAGUAUGCCCCGGAACCCCCGGGCUACACGCGCGCUACAAUGGGCGGGACAAUGGGAUCCGACCCCGAAAGGGGAAGGGAAUCCCCUAAACCCGCCCCCAGUUCGGAUCGCGGGCUGCAACUCGCCCGCGUGAAGCUGGAAUCCCUAGUACCCGCGUGUCAUCAUCGCGCGGCGAAUACGUCCCUGCUCCUUGCACACACCGCCCGUCACUCCACCCGAGCGGGGUCUGGAUGAGGCUCCGUCCUCUGGGCGGGGUCGAGUCCGGGCUCCGUGAGGGGGGAGAAGUCGUAACAAGGUAACCGU